AGGAUACGUGCUCAAGAGACCUCCUCCUCCUACCUUUACUGUCUGUCAGUCUGAUAACACAUGGAAACCUCUCCGGGAGGCUUGUACAAGAAAAUCAUGUCCACAGCCAGCAGAACCCAUAAAUGGCAAAGUAGAACAUGUAAAUGGAACUUUGGAGUUUGGUUCACAGAUUCACUAUGCUUGUAAUGAGGGUUUUUACUUAGUUGGACCAAAAAUUCUAUAUUGU